rnacentral:rRNA from 1 species
UACGUAGGGGGCGAGCGUUGUCCGGAUUUAUUGGGCGUAAAGAGCUCGUAGGCGGUUCGAUAAGUCGGACGUGAAAUCUCCACGCUCAACGUGGAGGGGCCGUUCGAUACUGUCGUGACUCGAGUCCGGUAGGGGAGUGUGGAAUUCCCGGUGUAGCAGUGAAAUGCGUAGAGAGCAUGAGGAAGACCAGUGGCGAAGGCGGGUCACUGGCCCGAUACUGACGCUGAGGCACGAAAGCGUGGGGAGCAAACAGG